rnacentral:rRNA from 1 species
CUGGCUCGAGACGAACGCUGGCGGCGUGCCUAAUACAUGCAAGUCGAACGGUCUUUCUAUGGAAGCUUGCUUCCACUGAGAAGAUAGUGGCGAACGGGUGAGUAACACGUGGGUAACCUGCCCAUAAGAGGGGGAUAACAUCCGGAAACGGGUGCUAAUACCGCAUAGUUUUCUUGAUCGCAUGAUUGAGAAAGGAAAGACGGCCUUUGUGCUGUCGCUUAUGGAUGGACCCGCGCGUAUUAGUUAGUUGGUGAGGUAACGGCUCACCAAGACGAUGAUACGUAGCCGACCUGAGAGGGUGAUCGGCCACAUUGGGACUGAGACACGGCCCAAACUCCUACGGGAGGCAGCAGUAGGGAAUCUUCCGCAAUGGACGAAAGUCUGACGGAGCAACGCCGCGUGAGUGAAGAAAAGGUUUUCGGAUCGUAAAACUCUGUUGUCAGAGAAGAACAAGUUGGAGAGUAACUGCUCCAGCCUUGACGGUAUCUGACCAGAAAGCCACGGCUAACUACGUGCCAGCAGCCGC